CACAGACUCCUGCCGAGAGGAUGACUUCCCAGCUUGCAUGUAGUCUUGGAACUGUUCUUCAGAGAGAUUCAAGGAAGGACCAUCCAGCUUCUCGAUAAAAGUGACCGCGCAGCACUACGGCAAAGAAGCAGAGGAGACAGACAAGAUAUAAGAUACAGACCAGUGGAGCUCCCUCAAGAGGGCGAACGCAACAGUCAGAAGAGGGAAGCAGCAAGAAUGUUGUCACCGAUAACGACGACACAACUUACUUUCAUAAAAACUCCCCUAAGCAAAAAUUAAUAAUCACAAUUCCCCCUCAGGUACAUACAAAAAAAUGACGGGGCAAGAAAAACGAAAAAACGGUAAGGGAAGAAAGUGGCAGAAAUGAAGCAGACAGAAGUUGAAGUUGACCACCCCAUGAGGGGCUGGGGUGGGGGGUGGAAUGGGGAUUUGCCUUUUGUUCAGUUGUGCAGAUGCUUCAAUGUAGAAAGUGGGUUUGCAUCCUGGCUCAAGACGGGUUUCACCUUUGCAGAAACGUUGAUCCAACAAAUCAAGCUGAAGCUGAACGAUGUCCGGUCGAUGACACACAGGAAGAACUACAAAGGACGUGACGGGGGGGCAGUGCUGUGCACCAUCCUGCGUGAAAGAACCACCUGUGAAAUUUAAAAAGAAGCAGUUUUACCUGUCAUGGCAGAGAGCAUGUGAUCGCCGGUUUCAGACUUUUUCUCCAGGCCUGGAACACCAAGCAUACAGGCUGUAACCCACUGGAGCGA